rnacentral:lncRNA from 10 species
GAUGUAUGUGUGCAGAGCGAAGAGGCCUGGCCUGGCGCAGUGGCUCAUGCCUAUAAUCCCAGCACUUUGGGAGGCCAAGGCGGGCAGAUUGCUUGAGCUCAGGAGUUUGAGACCAGCCUGGGUAACAUGGUGAAACACCAUCUCUACCAAAAAUACAAAAAAUUAGCCAGGCGUGGUGGCAUGCACCUGUAUUCCCAGCUACUUGAGAGGCUGAGGUGGAAGGAAUCACUUGAGCCCAGGAGGUUGAGGGGGCAGUGAGCUGUCAUUGUGCCAGUGCACUCCAGCCUGGGUGACAGAGCAAGACCCCGUCUCACACACACACACACAAAAGAGAAAAGGACAUGUGAGGACACAGCAAGAAGAUGGCCAUCUGCGAGCCAAGGAGAGAGGCCUCAGGAGAAAUCAAACCUCCUGACACGGUGAUCUUAGACUUCAAGCCUCUAAAACUGUGAGAAAAGAAAAUUCUGUUGCUUGGGCCUAGUCUGUGGCAUCCUGUUAUGGUAGACUUAGCAAACUAAUAUAUACUUCGUGAAUGGUGGGCACCGAUUACCGACUACAGGAGUGGACCUGGGAGAUGGCAAGCAGAAAUGUCCAGGUGGCUGCUGACUAUUCAUGUUGGCAGAACAAGCCAGAGGUAGAGAUUUGGGCAUUAUAAAUGAAAGUGGAACCAUGGCAGUGAAUCAUAUAACUUCUGGAGAUGUAUAAAAGUAAAAUGAGGUCACAAUGGAACCCUAGAAAACACCACCAACUCCAAAGGAAGAGGUGCCCCCCUGAAGAAAUGUUAAAAUAGGUCAAGGAACACAGGAAAAUCUGGAGAGACUGGAGCCAUGAAAACUAAGAGAACACUUAAAGAAGUGGGCCCAACAGUGCCAAGUGUAACACAAAGAUCAAGCCAGAUAAAAACUUAGGAGGAUAGCAAGUUGGAGAUCAAUGGUCCCCUUGACAGGAAAAUGAUCAGUGGCUGGGUAGCAGUAGAAUGUCACGUGUCAGUGAAGGAGAAGAGAGGGACAGAAAGGGUAGACAACUCUCAAGAAGCAUGGUCGUUAAGGAUGAAAAAGGCAGCGGCUGGAAAGGGACAUCAGGUUCAGGGAGGGUCCCCUUAAAUGUAAAAUUAUUCAACACCUACAUCCAUUAGAGGAAAGGCUAAAGACACAGAAGUGAAAACUUUGCGGAGAAAAGGCAGGGUGGACUGAAAACCAGAAAAUGAAAUGGCACAGGGGGAUGACUGAUACUCACAUGGAAAGAGAGACGUCUUUUUUUCCCAAGGAGGUAAGGAUUGCAGAUGAGUCUGUAGGUGCAAGAUGAGAAACUGAGGGUUUCUGCUUUCACCAGGAAGAAAGGAUAGUCAUCCAGUGAACAUGAGAGGGUGUGAUAAGGUAAACUAUUUUAAGAAAAUAGUGAAAUUUUUUAAUGUUUCUUUUUUUUUUUUCAGCAAGUCAAACCAGAGAAAAUGGUGAAACUUUUAAGUGACAGCUGACUCGAGACAGACGGCCCUAUAGCUGAGGACCCAGGCAUAACUGCAAGAAAACACGGAAUGAAGCAAUGAGAUGCUCCUGGCUAUGUGCAGAAUCCCAGGAAGAAACAGGAGAAUGCCAUCAUCAGAGGGCUCUGGGUCAUCAGCCAAGGAGGGGUGAAAAGACAGAAGCAGC